AUGAACGCUGGCGGCGUGCCUAAUACAUGCAAGUCGAGCGCACGGACGAGAAGCUUGCUUCUCUGAUGUUAGCGGCGGACGGGUGAGUAACACGUGGAUAACCUACCUAUAAGACUGGGAUAACUUCGGGAAACCGGAGCUAAUACCGGAUAAUAUUUUGAACCGCAUGGUUCAAAAGUGAAAGACGGUCUUGCUGUCACUUAUAGAUGGAUCCGCGCUGCAUUAGCUAGUUGGUAAGGUAACGGCUUACCAAGGCAACGAUGCAUAGCCGACCUGAGAGGGUGAUCGGCCACACUGGAACUGAGACACGGUCCAGACUCCUACGGGAGGCAGCAGUAGGGAAUCUUCCGCAAUGGGCGAAGGCCUGACGGAGCAACGCCGCGUGAGUGAUGAAGGUCUUCGGAUCGUAAAACUCUGUUAUUAGGGAAGAACAUAUGUGUAAGUAACUGUGCACAUCUUGACGGUACCUAAUCAGAAAGCCACGGCUAACUACGUG
rnacentral:rRNA from 1 species